AUUGAACGCUGGCGGCAGGCCUAACACAUGCAAGUCGAACGAGUGGCGGACGGGUGAGUAAUGUCUGGUAAACUGCCUGAUGGAGGGGGAUAACUACUGGAAACGGUAGCUAAUACCGCAUACCAUCGGAUGUGCCCAGAUGGGAUUAGCUAGUAGGCGGGGUAAGGGCUCACCUAGGCGACGAUCCCUAGCUGGUCUGAGAGGAUGGCCAGCCACUCUGGAACUGAGACACGGUCCAGACUCCUAGGGGCGGAGGCGGUGGGGAUUAUUGCCAAAUGGGCGCAAGCCUGAUGCAGACAUGCCGCGUGUAUGAGGAGGGCCUUCGGGUUGUAAAGUACUUUCAGCGGGGAGGCGUUACCCGCAGAAAAAGCACCGGCUAACUCCGUGCCAGCCGCCGCGGUAAUAC
rnacentral:rRNA from 1 species